UGGGCAUAAACAAUCUGACAAAUGAGAUCUCUGUUGGUUACAUAAACUAUUAUUCUGUAUUUAGGUGUGUUGUACUUAUUUUUAUCCUGAAUUACCAAGCGUUUCCGGGCAUAGCAAUCAGUUUUACCCUCUCGUUUUCUUCUAAAUUUCACCUGGUAUCUCUUGAAGUAAGCCUUAUUCUUGACAACUUUAACAAACCCCAUCCUGUGGAACAGAGACCCGCCUCCGCGAGAUGGGAAGAGCACAAGUCUGAACUGC